rnacentral:rRNA from 1 species
AUAGGACUAUAAAACCACGGUUGGCUUCUUUAAAAUCUGUAUACUCCGAUGCGAAAGGAUGGGCUUGCGGCGCAUUAGGUAGUUGGUGGGGUAACGGCUCACCAAGCCUACGAUGCGUAGCGGCGCUGAGAGGGUGAACCCCCACACUGGGACUGAGACACGGCCCAGACUCCUACGGGAGGCAGCAGUGGGGAAUUUUGGGCAAUGGGGGGAACCCUGACCCAGCCAUGCCGCGUGAAUGAAUAAGGUCUUCGGAUUGGAAAGCUCUUUUAUUGAGGAAAAACGGUAUCCCUAGUAAAUGAUUGAUAAGGGACGGUACUUGAAUACAACGUCCCGGCCCAC